CAGCCGCCGCGGUAAUACGGAGGGGGCUAGCGUUGUUCGGAAUUACUGGGCGUAAAGCGCACGUAGGCGGCUUGGUAAGUUAGAGGUGAAAGCCUGGAGCUCAACCCCGGAACUGCCUUUGAUACUGGAAGUCUUGAGUAUGGAAGAGGUGAGUGGAAUUCCGAGUGUAGAGGUGAAAUUCGUAGAUAUUCGGAAGAACACCAGUGGCGAAGGCGGCUCACUGGACGACUGUUGACGCUGAGGUGCGAAAGCGUGGGGAGCAAACAGGAUUAGAUACCCCCGUAGUCCCUGUCUCUUAUAC
rnacentral:rRNA from 1 species